rnacentral:rRNA from 1 species
GACGAACGCUGGCGGCGUGCUUAACACAUGCAAGUGGAGCGACGAACCAGGCUUCGGCCUGGGGCAAAGCCGCGAACGGGUGAGUAACACGUGGGUAACCUGCCCCGAUGAUUGGGACAACCCGAGGAAACCCGGGCUACUACCGAAUGUGCCCUCCGGCCAUAAGGCCGCUGGGGAAAGGAAGCUUCGGCCUCCGCAUCGGGAUGGGCCCGCGGCCCAUUAGCUUGUUGGGGAGGUAACGGCCCACCAAGGCGACGAUGGGUAGCUGGUCUGAGAGGACGAUCAGCCACACUGGGACUGAGACACGGCCCAGACUCCUACGGGAGGCAGCAGUGGGGAAUCUUGCGCAAUGCGCGGAAGCGUGACGCAGCAACGCCGCGUGGGGGAAGAAGGCCUUCGGGUUGUAAACCCCUUUCGGUUGGGACGAAGCUCCACCGGUUAACAGCCGGUCGGAGUGACGGUACCUUCAGAAGAAGCCCCGGCUAACUACGUGCCAGCAGCCGCAGUAAUAC